rnacentral:lncRNA from 1 species
AGUUUUUAGAAAUUUACAUGAAGAAGACAAUUUUGGUAUUAUUGUAAAAUUUUAAAUAAAUUUGGGUGUAACUUAUUUUUUUUUUGGUGUGAUUAGCACCAGUCAUAUAUAAAUUAUGAGUCAAUCAUAAUCAUUAUUCUUUUACAACCCAAUUAUGAAACUACAUUCAAAAUUAACACGUUGAAUCUUACUUUUUAACUUGUUAAGAUCUCACAUUAAACAUUCUAUUUGUUGAUAAUUGUUAAUUGUUAAUAGAUAUUCCUAUUCCAAUAAUUGAUAGCUCUUGAUAUUUUGUAAUAGAAUCAAUUAGGCUUAUCACUCAAACACAUAAACAUUUUCCUUUUGAGAGGAAGCGGGCUAAAGCAAAACUAACAAAACACUUUGCUUCCAUAUCUGGCGGGCACAACCAUUCUUCUCUACAAUCAUAGUCUGUAGUACAUUCAAGAUAGCCUGUUGUAAUGAAAAAAGAGAGUGAAAAUAUCUUAUUAAAAUAUGAUAAUAUUAUGUAGAAAAGUAACCAAGAAAAUUUGAAAAGGAUAAAAAAAAUGGUUUACCGUCACUAUUUAUUGCAACAACAAAUGAGGAGAGUACGAUAAUCAUAACAUAAACAAACUUGACAAUCUGAACCAUACUUUUGUC